rnacentral:rRNA from 1 species
UUGCCAGCCCGCUCAAGAACUUAAAUGAAGUUGACGGGGGCCCGCACAAGCGGAGGAGCAUGUGGUUUAAUUCGAUGAUACGCGAGGAACCUUACCUGGGCUCGAACGUAAGAUGACUGUAGGUGAAAGCUUACAUCUCUUCGGAGCAUUUUACGAGGUGCUGCAUGGUUGUCGUCAGCUCGUGCCGUGAGGUGUCGGGUUAAGUCCCAUAACGAGCGCAACCCCUACCUUUAGUUGCCAUCAGGUAAUGCUGGGGACUCUAAAGGAACUGCCUACGCAAGUAGUGAGGAAGGCGGGGAUGACGUCAAAUCAGCACGGCCCUUACGUCCAGGGCUACACACGUGCUACAAUGGCCGAUACAGAGGGCAGCUACCUGGUGACAGGAUGCAAAUCUCCAAAGUCGGUCUCAGUUCGGAUCGGAGUCUGCAACCCGACUCCGUGAAGUUGGAUUCGCUAGUAAUCGCGCAUCAGCCAUGGCGCGGUGAAUACGUUCCCGGGCCUU